rnacentral:Y_RNA from 1 species
GGGCCGUGUGAAGGUAGAGAGAUGUCUCACUGGAUUGCUCACAGUCAGUUACAGAUGGAACUCCUUGUUCCACUCUUUGCCCCCUUUUCACUACUGCACUUGACUAUUCUUUA